rnacentral:rRNA from 1 species
ACUCAAAUGAAUUGACGGGGGCCCGCACAAGCAGCGGAGCGUGUGGUUUAAUUCGACGCAACGCGAAGAACCUUACCAAGGCUUGACAUGCUGGUAGUACCGAUCCGAAAGGUGAGGGACCCUUCGGGGAGCCAGUGCAGGUGAUGCACGGCUGUCGUCAGCUCGUGCCGUGAGGUGUUGGGUUAAGUCCCGCAACGAGCGCAACCCCUGUUGCCAGUUGUAUUUUUCUGGCGAGACUGCUGAGAGAAACUCAGAGGAAGGCGGGGAUGAAGUCAAGUCCGCGUGUCCCUUACGUCUUGGGCUACACACACGCUACAAUGGCCGGUACAGAGGGCUGCGAAAGAGCGAUCUGGAGCUAAUCCCACAAAGCCGGCCCCAGUUCAGAUUGCAGGCUGAAACCCGCCUGCAUGAAGGCGGAGUUGCUAGUAACCGCAGGUCAGCACACUGCGGUGAAUACGUUCCCGGGCCUUGUACACACCGCCCGU